rnacentral:misc_RNA from 1 species
CCAGUCCUGAAGCUGGUGUAAUCCAAAAGUUUAUAGCCAAGGAAGGGGACACUGUCGAACCAGGCAAUAAAGUUGCUAUCAUUUCAAAAUCUGGUGAGGGUGUGGAACAUGUUGCUCCAUCUGAGAAGUCCUCUGAGAAAGUAGCUCCUGCAGCUGAGGAUAAGAAAGAGGAAAAGGCAAAACCUCAAGUUGAGACAACUCCCGUCAAGGAGAAGCCUAAGGGAAGUUCACCUCCACCCCCUAAACGCUCUCCUACAGAGCUCCAACUUCCUCCCAAAGAACGGGAAAGACGAGUUCCCAUGACCAGGCUCAGAAAAAGAGUUGCCACACGUUUGAAAGAUUCUCAGAACACAUUUGCUUUGCUGACAACAUUCAAUGAAGUUGAUAUGACAAAUUUGAUGAAGCUCCGUUCUGAUUACAAAGAUGCCUUUUUUGAAAAGCAUGGAGUCAAGUUAGGAUUCAUGUCUGGAUUUGUGAAAGCAGCAGUUAGCGCACUCCAGAAUCAGCCAAUUGUUAAUGCUGUUAUCGAUGGUGAUGACAUCAUAUAUAGGGAUUAUAUAGACAUCAGUAUCGCUGUUGGUACACCAAAGGGUCUUGUUGUUCCAGUU